CCUACGGGAGGCAGCAGUGAGGAAUAUUGCACAAUGGACGAAAGCCUGAAGCAGCGAUGCCGCGUGCAGGAAGACGGCUCUAUGAGUUGUAAACUGCUUCUGCACGAGGGUAAAUCCCGAUACGUGUAUCGGGUUGAAAGUAUCGUACGAAUAAGGCUCGGCUAAAUCUGUGCAAGCAGCCGCGGUAAUCCGGAGGGGUCAAGCGUUAUCCGGAUUUAUUGGGUUUAAGGGGUGCGUAGGCGGUUCGGUAAGUUAGAGGUGAAAUCCCGGGGCUCAACUCCGGUACUGCCUUUGAUACUGUCGGGCUAGAGUUUAGGUGCGGUAGGCGGAAUGUAUGGUGUAGCGGUGAAAUGCAUAGAGAUCAUAUAGAACACCGAUUGCGAAGGCAGCUUACCAAACUACGACUGACGUUGAGGCACGAAAGCGUGGGGAGCAAACAGGAUUAGAUACCCGAGUAGUC
rnacentral:rRNA from 1 species